ACCUGAUUCUUCGGAUGAAGGUUUUUGUGACUGAGUGGCGGGCGGGUGAGUAACGCGUGGGUAACCUGCCUCAUACAGGGGGAUAACAGUUAGAAAUGACUGCUAAUACCGCAUAAGACCACAGAGCCGCAUGGCUCGGUGGGAAAAACUCCGGUGGUAUGAGAUGGACCCGCGUCUGAUUAGGUAGUUGGUGGGGUAACGGCCUACCAAGCCAACGAUCAGUAGCCGACCUGAGAGGGUGACCGGCCACAUUGGGACUGAGACACGGCCCAAACUCCUACGGGAGGCAGCAGUGGGGAAUAUUGCACAAUGGGGGAAACCCUGAUGCAGCGACGCCGCGUGAGCGAAGAAGUAUUUCGGUAUGUAAAGCUCUAUCAGCAGGGAAGAAAAUGACGGUACCUGACUAAGAAGCACCGGCUAAAUACGUGCCAGCAGCCGCGGUAAUACGUAUGGUGCAAGCGUUAUCCGGAUUUACUGGGUGUAAAGGGAGCGUAGACGGCUGUGUAAGUCUGAAGUGAAAGCCCGGGGCUCAACCCCGGGACUGCUUUGGAAACUAUGCAGCUAGAGUGUCGGA
rnacentral:rRNA from 1 species